AAGAUACUAGUAAAAAUAUUACCCUGCCUUGUCAAGGCAAAGUCGCAAGUUAAAACCUUGCGUAUCUUA
rnacentral:tRNA from 2 species